rnacentral:rRNA from 1 species
GACGUAGGGGGCAAGCGUUGUCCGGAUUUAUUGGGCGUAAAGAGCGUGUAGGCGGCCUGGAAGGUCAGCUGUGAAAACUCGAGGCUCAACCUCGAGACGUCGGUUGAAACCACCUGGCUAGAGUCCGGAAGAGGAGAGUGGAAUUCCCGGUGUAGCGGUGAAAUGCGCAGAUAUCGGGAAGAACACCCGUGGCCGAAGGCGGCUCUCUGGCCUGUAACUGACGCUGAGGCGCGAAAGCG